rnacentral:tRNA from 1 species
GCCACUAUAGCUCAGUCGGUAGAGCAACGCAUUCGUAACGCGUAGGUCACCAGUUCGAGUCUGGUUAGUGGCU